GACGGCUUGGCCGAGUGGUUAAGGCGCGGGAUUGCUAAUCCCGUGGAUUUAUCCGCGUGGGUUCGAAUCCCAUGGUCGUCG
rfam:Trichomonas vaginalis G3, whole genome shotgun sequence.